GAGAGAGGAAGGAUGAGAGAAAAUCACCUGCCCAGGUGCCGUUGUGGUCUGACCUUGUUUUCUAGCAGAUGGUGGCAUCAAAAUGAAGGGCUAGGGUUGGGGUUUUUUAAUCUUUGUUAAAAAAAAAAAAGAAUAUAUCAUUAUAUGCAUGAGGCAAUGCCUCGCAAUGCCUGGCAUCUCUCACCUUUUGUCCCAAGGUGCUCGCCUUUUCAAAUCCAGGCGCGCCUUAGUCAGUCGAGUUCCCACUUCGACGCUUCACCUCACUCAAUGCCUCUCAGCACCUUUAACAACACUGCAUAAGUUAGUGGUGGAAUAAGUGAGAAAGGAAAUUGAGAGAUCUAAAAUGACUUAGAGGGAAGUAGUAUUAAAAGAUUUACAAUUUUUGGAUAUUGAUACAGAAUUUGUUUUAAAUAAAGUUGAAUGGCAAAAAAAGAUUUAUAUAGCCGACUCCAACUAGUUUGUAAUGAAAGCUUAGUUAUUGUUGCAAUCUUCUAUUUUAUCCUAAGCAUCUUGUAGCAUUUGCUUGCAAUUUUUAUGUUGAUUAGUUGUGUGUGUAUUAGAUAUUGUUUUCUUUUUUUUUUUCUUGCCCUUUUCCACUUUAAGUUGGUCAUAUUAAUUUUAUUGAAUGCAUUGACUACCCACUACCCUUCCAUCUGUUUUCUUGCUUUACUACAAUGACUUUUUUUGGCAUUCACAUCGGUGCAUGUGUAUGUAGCAAGUUAUGAGAAUGUAAAUAUUGAAAAUAACAUGAUUAAUGCAUGGUCAAAUAGGAUUCAUGGGAAUCAUUUAGCAGAGAUGCCAUUCAUCGGGACCCGCUACACCUAUAGACGUCAAGGAAUGUGUCGCCGACUUCUGACUGCAAUUGAAAUGGCUCUAUGCUCUUUAGAUGUUGAGAAAUUGGUCAUACCAGCUGUCUCGGAGCUAAGGGAAACAUGGACUUCAGUGUUUGGUUUCAAGCCCAUUGAAGACUCGAGCAAGAAAAUAUUGAGGAACAUGAAUAUGAUGGUGUUCCCUGGUGUUGAUAUGUUACAGAAACCAUUACUGAAGCAUCAGUUUCCUGAAGAAAAUAUGAAUCCAGUACAAGGAUUGAAGCCCGCCGAGCUCAGGGAACUUCAUACCACGGAAGAUGCGACAAGUAGUUUUGUCGAGAGAUCUUCAGCUAGAUUUGAUUUGAAAGGUUCCAGUGAGACCAAUGUACCUUUUGUUGGUGAUGUAAUUGGUGAAUGUGCCACUGCUGAAUCUGGUCUACUUUCUGAUGGGUGCUUGAAUGAGCCAUCUGAUCUCACAAUUCAGGACAAGAGUAAAAUAAAAUGCAAUGAUAAUUUUGGUAUGAUUUCUGAUAAUCUGGAUGAGAGAGAUGAAAAUGUUGUGUCCCCUCUCGAUUCUUCAUGUGAUGCUAAUGAACAAGUGGCAAAGAUUACUGGACAACAGAAUCAUCCGUCUGCUUCCAUUAUUCUGCCCUCUGACAAUGCAUCAAAAAAAGAACUGCAUGUGCAAUCAAACCAGCAUAUUGCAUCAGAGGUAGAAUGUACAUUGCCUGCGGUAUCUCAUAUUGGAUCUGAAUCUGCUAAUUGUUUAGGAGAAUCUCCACAUGCUUCAAGUGGUGAUAUUGAAACGGUUUCUUGUGAAGUGAAAAUAGAAGCUAGCAAUGUUGAACAGAAUCCUGGCUCUGUUGGAGAGGAUUCUGUGCAUGCCACUGCUGAAAUCAUUAGUUCUCAAUUCCCAGACUUGGCUUCUGAGCAUGGAGUAAAAGUUUCAAAAGAGAAUGCUGUUCUCCACGAGUCCAAGACUAGUAAUAUCUCGUAUGAUGUUGUCAAGUCAAUAUCCUCCAAAGCUCACCAAAGAGUACAAGAUGUGUUGAAUGGGCAUUCUGCUGUAUUGCCUCUUGAACAAAAUUUCAGUUCUCUCUGUCAAAGCAAUGGGCCUGAUAACCAUGAAUCAAAACUUUCCCUUGCUAUGGAUAAUUCCAAUUGCAAUGAUCUUUGUCAUGUGGUGGCCUCUGAUAUCAGUGGGGAACCCAAUUUGCAUGGGUUCACGAGUAAUGCACUUUGCAUGUCUACUGAAGUUGCAUCAAGCUCUUGUGGAGAUGGUGUCUAUGACCUGAAAGAUGUGUAUGCCAAAACUCAAAAUGAUGCCCUUUCUGUUGAUGGGGGUUUAGCUUCUGAUAAGGCUCAUAUGAAUACCAAAUUGUUAAAGCCCUCAGGUUCUGAUUUAGAGCUUGAUCAUGCUAGUAGUUCGAGCUCUGCUUCUGGUGUUGCUCUUCACUGUGCCUCUGGCGGGAGCAAUUCAUGUGGUGCACCUGAGGUGAUAAUUCUAUCAAACCAGGCUAAUUGAUUUCUGUUUAAUUCUUUUUGCAGUAGAAAUCAGGUGUUCUUUGGACAACUGGCACCAAUAGAUUUUCUAGACUUUUCAUUAAGCAGAGUUUGUCAUGUCUUGGGAUGCCAGCAUAGCACUUGAACAUUUCAUUAAGUGGUGGUGAUAGCCUCUGCCGGUUUUCGUCAACAAAUUUGUCAUUUUGGCAAUCUAAUCUCAAGAGUGUAGGGAUUUUUUUUUUCCCCUGUUGUCUUCCCCUUUGUUAUGUACAGUUUCAAAGAUCAGCAUUAGUGAAGUAGUGUAGUUUAGCAUGAUGUGAAAUCUAGACGCAAUCGAGGGCUGUGAAUUUUGGACCUCUCUUAUGCUUAUUAUUGUAAAUAGAACAAGUCAUUGUCGAAUUAAUGAAAAUAGUAAUUUCUUUUCAA
rnacentral:misc_RNA from 1 species